rnacentral:rRNA from 1 species
UUGAACAAAUAACAUAAGGAGUCCUGCCUGCCCAGUGACUAGAGGUUAAACGGCCGCGGUAUCUUGACCGUGCGAAGGUAGCAUAAUCAUUUGUCUCCUAAAUAGAGACUAGUAUGAAUGGCAAGACGGAACAAAACUGUCUCUUUCUCAUGACCCCGAAUUUCACUUCCCCGUGAAGAGGCGAGGAUAAAAUCGCUAGACGAGAAGACCCUGUCGAGCUUUAGCAAAACCCAAGGCUAUAUGUUUCUUAUUCUACUCUAAUUUCCGAUAAACAUAAGCGGCAAUAAGAUCUUAUAUUACUUGGGAGAGCUUUGGUUGGGGCAACCGCGGAGUAAGACGAUCCUCCGCUAAUAAAAUACUAUAGUAAGAGCUACAACUCUAAAAUCUUAAUAAAACAAAUGAUCCACUAAGGUGAUCAAAGGAACAAGUUACCGCAGGGAUAACAGCGUUAUCUUUUCUGAGAGUUCACAUUGACGAAAAGGUUUGCGACCUCGAUGUUGGAUCGGGACAUCCUAAGGGUGCAGAAGCUCUUAAGGGUUGGUCUGUUCGACCAUUAAAGUCCUACGUGAUCUGAGUUCAGACCGG